rnacentral:rRNA from 1 species
UGGGGAAUAUNUGCNGCAAUGGGGGGAACCCUGACGCAGCCAUGCCGCGUGAAUGAAGAAGGCCUUAGGGUUGUAAAGUUCUUUCGGUAUUGAGGAAGGUUGAUGUGUUAAUAGCACAUCAAAUUGACGUUAAAUACAGAAGAAGCACCGGCUAACUCCGUGCCAGCAGCCGCGGUAAUACGGAGGGUGCGAGCGUUAAUCGGAAUAACUGGGCGUAAAGGGCACGCAGGCGGUUAUUUAAGUGAGGUGUGAAAGCCCCGGGCUUAACCUGGGAAUUGCAUUUCAGACUGGGUAACUAGAGUACUUUAGGGAGGGGUAGAAUUCCACGUGUAGCGGUGAAAUGCGUAGAGAUGUGGAGGAAUACCGAAGGCGAAGGCAGCCCCUUGGGAAUGUACUGACGCUCAUGUGCGAAAGCGUGGGGAGCAAACAGGAUUAGAUACCCUGGUAGUCCACGCUGUAAACGCUGUCGAUUUGGGGGUUGGGGUUUAACUCUGGCGCCCGUAGCUAACGUGAUAAAUCGACCGCCUGGGGAGUACGGCCGCAAGGUUA